rnacentral:rRNA from 1 species
AUUGAACGCUGGCGGCAGGCCUAACACAUGCAAGUCGAACGGUAGCACAAAGGAGCUUGCUCCUUGGGUGACGAGUGGCGGACGGGUGAGUAAUGUCUGGGAAACUGCCCGAUGGAGGGGGAUAACUACUGGAAACGGUAGCUAAUACCGCAUAACGUCGCAAGACCAAAGAGGGGGGACCUUCGGGCCUCUUGCCAUCGGAUGUGCCCAGAUGGGAUUAGCUAGUAGGUGGGGUAAAUGGCUCACCUAGGCGACGAUCCCUAGCUGGUCUGAGAGGAUGGACCAGGCCACACUGGAACUGAGACACGGUCCAGACUCCUACGGA